rnacentral:tRNA from 1 species
GGCAGUUUGUCCGAGUGGUUAAGGAGUCACACUCGAAAUGUGAUAGGCUCUGCCUGCACAGGUUCAAAUCCUGUAGCUGUCG